GGCUAGAGACAAGACAUGAAACGGUUUUUCAGAAACAGUGUGUAGGUUAUUGCAGGGUUGUUGGGGGUUGUCUUUCUGCAAGGGUAAAGACUAUAAUGAAUUUGAAUAAAUACAUACAUAAAUAGCUAUUGGUAAUCACAAUGUUUCAAUCAGUUGGUGCCUUACCUUUUAUUAUUACUGAUAUUAUACUUAUAAUGAUUUUAUAACUAUUUUUAUAGCUAGCUUUUAAUCUUGUUUCUAUCUUAUGCACCCUGGUAUU